rnacentral:rRNA from 1 species
AACGAACGCUGGCGGCAGGCUUAACACAUGCAAGUCGAGCGCCCCGCAAGGGGAGCGGCAGACGGGUGAGUAACGCGUGGGAAUCUACCUAGCUCUACGGAAUAACCCAGGGAAACUUGGACUAAUACCGUAUACGUCCUUCGGGAGAAAGAUUUAUCGGAGUUAGAUGAGCCCGCGUUGGAUUAGCUAGUUGGUGGGGUAAUGGCCUACCAAGGCGACGAUCCAUAGCUGGUCUGAGAGGAUGAUCAGCCACACUGGGACUGGGACACGGCCCAGACUCCUACGGGAGGCAGCAGUGGGGAAUAUUGGACAAUGGGCGCAAGCCUGAUCCAGCCAUGCCGCGUGAGUGAUGACGGCCCUAGGGUUGUAAAGCCCUUUCACCGGUGAAGAUAAUGACGGUAACCGGAGAAGAAGCCCCGGCUAACUUCGUGCCAGCCGCCGCCGUAACAC